AUGAGUGAAAGCUUCUUCCUGAUCAUGUCGUGGAAUGUCCGCGGCCUUAACCAGCCGGCGAAACGCGCGGCAAUCUGUGAGGUAGUUACAAGAAACAAAGUAGCAAUCAUGUGCCUACAGGAAACUAAGAUAGAUAUCUGGACACCAAGCUUCGUCAGGGAAAUCGGUAGCGCUACCCUGGCUGAAUGUGUCAUCCUCCCUGCGAUCGGUUCCCGCGGUGGAGCUGCUAUCUUCUAGAAUAGAGACCUGGUCAGCAUUGCAUCGCACGCUGUAGGUGAAUUCGCGAUCACUACAAAAGUGACACUCCUCUGGCAAUCCAAAAGCUUUUGGCUCACGACUGUGUAUGGUCCAGCAGACGACGCUAGAAAAAAAUGCUUUCCUAGUAGAAUUAGCUUGAACGCCCCCCACCAUAUGAUCCAUGGCUCAUCAACGGUGAUUUUAAACUGA
rnacentral:rRNA from 1 species